rnacentral:lncRNA from 1 species
GAACACCAUCAUUGUCAAUGGCAGCAGCUGCCACAACUCCUGCAACAAUAACAACAACAACAACAACAACAACAGCAUCUUCGUAAAGUGCAGCUGCUGCUGAUUUGUCAUAUGAGGCUUUUAUAGCCUACAGGAGAAGUCAACCAGGACCCAUAUCCUACAGGGCCCAUAGGAUAUGGGUCUCAAAUAAUGGGGCAGAUCUCCCCUCUUUUCGUUGGGGGAGAAGAAGAAGAAAUGGGA